ensembl:lncRNA
GGCGGGAUAACGUGAUUAUUAUUGCUUAAUAUUAUUUCCUUAUUUGCACGUGCAUGGUGAUGUAACCCAAAAAUAGUGUGAAAAAAUGGUUUUUGUAAAGUUAUUGCGUUUUGAUGGAAGAUUUAGGAAAACGUGGCGCACGGUGGCGUAGUGGUUAGCACGUUCGCCUCACACCGCCGGGGUUGGGGGUUCGAUUCCUUGUGUGUGCGGAGUUUGCAUGUUCUCCCCGUGCCGUGCUGCGGAGGUUUCCUCCCCAGUACAAAGACAUGGUAGGCUGAUUGGCGUGUCCAAAGUGUCCAUGGGUGUGUGAAUGUGAAUGCGCCCUGCGAUGGAUUGGCACCGCGUCCAGGGUGUACCCCGCCUUGUUCUCAUGCUCUCUGGGAUAGACUCCAGGUUCCCGCGACCCUGUAGGAUAACCGCUAUCGAAAAUGGAUGGAUUUCGGAAAAACUAAAACUUUUUGUAUUUUACGCGACACUUAAUGAAAAAUGGGUUUUUUAACAUUUUUGUUGCGGCUUCAUUUAUUAACAGCGUUAUACUUUUUUUUUUUCGCUUUCCUCCAGUUAUUGAAAUAGUUGAGUUGAAAUCUCUGAUUUCGUAAUAACGCACUAACUCACAAUUGUACGUAUUUAACAUCGUAACAUGCGACGCACUCCCUCUCUCCUGACCGUCAGGGAACUUAUUACAAUAUCAAUAUCAACAGUUUCACUUCUGCGCACAUGCUGAUGUCAAUGGAUUGAAAUGGAACCGAAUGUGAGUCAAAUCCUUAGUUAAUAUCACGUCACUGGAGUGAGAACGCGGAUUUUUACUCCCGGAAAUACUGGAUGAGCCUGUUACUUAUUUAAUCAGGCGUUUACUUCCGUGGGACAAAAUAUCAUCUACUGCAUCAUCAGUGUACACUUUAAUUGAAAUAACUCAAUAUCUCUGUGCAUCAUAGACACUGGAAAUCAGGACUUUAUAAGAGUUUAUGCUGUGUGUUUGAGUGUUUCAUUUGGGAAUCAGUUUAGAUUUAGGAAAGCAGUUUAAUGAGAUCGACGUGAUUUCUCCUCCGGGUCACUAGGGGGCAGCGAUGAAGACUGAAAGAAGGAACGCUACAAAAUGUGGGAAUCUGAACAAGCGCCACGUAUUGUUCUGAGUCAACGCACAAAAAUACACACACACACACACAGAGACACAUUAAGCUAGCACAUGCUGAUUUACCUGAGUGACAGGUGUCCCGGGGGUCGACAUGGGCGGAGCUUAAGACAAUUGCAGAUGUGACCGGCGUGAUUUAGUGCUUAAUAUAAAAUACAGUUUUGCACAGUAUGGUCAUUUAGCAAGAGUAGCUAAACUUCGUUAACAUUAACAUCGUGACUUCAGCUAAUAAACAUUGUAAAGCUAUUUAAUUGCAUCAUUAAAAUCAGUACAAACGUUUCUCAGCAAGCUCGCUAAUAUUCAGCUACGUACAACGUCGCGCGGUGAGCCUGUGCAGUAAGCGUUAUUAUAAUCAACCAGAAAGGGACUACGGAUAAUAAAAAACAAAUACGUAAAGACGAUUCAUAAAAUGGCGUUAGCUUUUGAGCAACAGAAAUACAAGAUGUAUAGAGUUGGAAAUGCGUUCAAUAUUUUCCCAAAACGCACUCCAAAUUUAGAAGAUUGGAAGAAGCAAUGUUAGCCUCGGAUAACUAUUAGCAUUUUUUGGAGCUAGCUGAUCCGAUGUUAUACGAUCGAGCCUGUGAUUGGCAGAUUGGCGAAUUCAACUUAAGCUCCGCCCUCGUUCGCCAACCUCGCAGAUUCAGGAUAUCCUUACGCACACUACAUAGACACGUCAUAUACACUACAUGAGCAUUCCGCAGACCUCAGGCAUGCUUCUGUGUUAUUACACACCUUAAUACAGAGGCGAUGUGACGAGAAAAUCUUCAUUUACACCCGUGAUGAUGUCGUCGUGAUAAAUGUGGCUUUAGCAUGUUAUAAAUAUAUCUCGUUCUGUUAUCACAGCAUCACGACUACAAGCUGCAAAACUACACUGAAGGCUAAAAUGCUAGCUGUAGCGUUCCAGUUAGAAAGCUAAGCUAGCUUAGGAAGGGUUUUUAAGUACUUAUUUUGGCCAGAAAAGGUGUUUUUGUUUUUUGUUGUUGUUUUGUUUUGUUUUUUAUCUCAUAAGCUAAAAAAAAAAUAUUAGGUAAACUUUUUUUUUUUGCUUAAAUAAAACCGGUCCACAAGUUAUUUAGCACGCUAGUUAAUAUUAGGCUAGCUGUUUCACUGAUUUGUUUUCACUAGGAAGCUAGCAAAACGUAUACUAAUGAUUAUAGUUUGCUCAAACAAUACAAAAUGUCAUUUAUUUCUAAAGCUCAAAUGCUGCGAAUCGCACUGAGUAAAUAAAAAAGAACUAUUUAAACGAAUUAGCUUUAUGAUUUAAAUGCUAGUUAGACACAGUUAAAUCUGUAGUGAUCAUGUGACCAAGUUCCACACAAAUCCAAAAGAUUUUCAGCCUUUGGUUUUAGUGAAACGUUCACCGUAGUAUUAAUACUGAAUAUUAUUUGUUAUGGUUUGAUUGUGGUGAGAUAAUGGGACUAAAAUUAAUUUAAGUGAAUUUUGUUUUGCUGGAUUUUUUCGCACAUCUCUCUCUCUCUCUCUCUCUCUCUCUCUCUCUCUCUCUCUCUCUCUGCACACUCGGUUAAUCUGCAUGUUACACUGAUGUUUUUAUUUUAUGUUCGUUAUUUAUUUGUGUGUCAGUCAUGAAAUGCUGUUAUGUUUUAUUCAGAGCAUACUGACCGUGAUUUAAAGAGAUCAAAACUGCUCGAAAUUGUGAAGUGUUGUCGGAUGGCGUAACCGUGGCAACACCACAUCUCUUCAUCGGAGAUGGAACGAAGGUGUGCGGGAUCUCUCUGACCUCUGUGACGUUACACUUACAUUCGGGAACAAAGAAGGAAGCACAAGCGUUGAGAAGUGUGUGUGUGUGUGUGUGUGUGUGUGUGUGUGUGAGAGAGAGAUUUGUGUUCAUUAGUGAUUUAAUCAGAGACAUCAUUAGCUUGUAGUGACUAUGCAUUAAAGGUGAAAAACGCCACAGAAUGUUUUUAUACCUGCAUGCUGAAUUAUUUAUUAAACUUCUGAAAGGAGAUAGAAAUGUUUUUUCGAUUAUUUUAUCUUUGAAUGUUAUCUGUAAUUAAAUUUCGAGAUGACCUUCAGCCGCUCGUUUGCAGUUUGACUUUUUGGGCAUCGUUGUAAAAGAUACAUUUGGCGGCAAAGAAGCAAGAGAGCUCGUCACCCAACGAACACCAUGGCCACGGUGAAGCAUGGUGGUGGCAGCAUGGUGCUGCGCGGCUGCUUCUCUUCAGCUGGGACUGGGACUUCAGCUACGGAUAAAAUGCCUGUCUCUCUGUCCUAAAGAAUUCAGAGGUUUCACAGCAACGUGGGUGAUAAAUAAAUAAUUCAUUCUUUUUAAAAAAAAAAAAAUUUUAAACUAUGAUUGCCACCACAUUGACUCCAACAUUAUGGACAACUUUACGUUUAUUAAUAAUAUUCUUUGUAAUGAAUUUGUAAUACUUCUGAGUAUCUUCACAAUUUACCUCACACGUAAAAGCUUUUAAGCGUCUAUGAACACAUUUAAGAUUUUUCUUGUGUGUUAUUGGUCAAG